rnacentral:lncRNA from 1 species
GUAGGUUAAGACUUGGAGUAAGGAGUAUUAUUCUCAUUGAUAAUUUCUAAUAAAAAAAACUAAUGGGGAAUAUUUCUUUCAACUAAAUUCUCUUUCACUUUUGAUUUCCAGUUUUCUUUGAGUACUCUGUUAUUUUUUUUAAAUUUUUUUUUCAAGUUUGUUGAUUUCCAACUCACUUGUUUUUCUUUCUUUUUUCAAAUUUGUAAUCAUUCAUUUGAUUCAUUCAAUUGCUAAUUGAUACCCCAAACUUAUUGGUUGUUAUUCCAACAACAACCUCAAACUUAAAUUCAACACAUCCUUGAAACAUAAUGCUUCUACUCCAAGUAGGGUAGAUAAAUAAUUAGGAUAAGGUUUACACAUAUGGUUAAAAAGAAACAAAACAAAAAUUGGCUCAAUGGGGUUUUGCA